rnacentral:rRNA from 1 species
AGUCACUGACAUUAGAUACCCGCGUAGUCCCAGCCGUAAACAAUGUGCGUUAGGUGUGUCGGUAACCACGCGUUACUGAUGCGCCGAAGAGAAAUCGUGAAACGCACCACCUGGGAAGUACGGUCGCAAGGCUGAAACUUAAAGGAAUUGGCGGGGGAGCGCCACAACAGGUGGAGCCUGCGGUUUAAUUGGAUUCAACGCCGGACAUCUCACCGGAUAAGACAGCUGAAUGAUUGUCAAUCUGAAGGGUUUACAUGACUAGCUG